UACACUUGAAGAGGAGGAUUCAGUAUCAAACUUUAUAACCCAGAUAUUGGUAACAUCAGUUUGUUAGUAUCAUGUUUCACUGAAAGAAAGAUGCACAUGUCGACUGAAAAAAAUUUUACAGCAUGAGAAUGCCUUGUAUACCGUAUCUUCAAAGGCAAUCGUCUCCGAGUUCCUGCUACCGUUAACAAAGUACUGCAAACGGGGUGGCUCAAGAGAAAUAUAUCGUCUUACAGUUCCGGAGUGCACCCAAGGAUACUUGGGAUGCGCUCUCCUGCCGAUGAGGCCUUGAGUGAUAUGGCUCUUCUCCUGUCACCUGCCGGUUGGACCAACUCUCUCCUUCAUCCAUCAGGGUUGCUGUCUUCUGGCUCAUCAAAACAGACGGCUCCUCCUGCCUCAGGGCCAUUGCUCCUGUCUUCCUCCUGCCUGAAUCAGAGAGCCGAAGCAGCGUGCCAGACCUCUGGUGGCGCAGUGGUUAAGAAUCCGCCUGCCAAUGCCGGGGACACGGGUUCCAGCCCUGGUCCAGGAAGAUCCCACAUGCCUCUGAGCAAC